UACCCGCAGCACAAGUGGUGGUCAUUAUUAUUGGGCCUAAAGCGUCCGUAGCUGGCUUGUUAGAUGCCUGGGUAAAUCGAUGCGCUCAACGUAUCGAACUCCGGGUAGACCGGCAAGCUCGAGACCGGGAGAGGUGUAGGCUACUCGAGGGGUAGGGGUAAAAUCCUGUAAUCCUUCGGGGAGGACCAGUGGCGAAGGCGCUACACUAGAACGGCUCUGACAGUGAGGGACGAAGCCCUGGGGCGCAAACCGG
rnacentral:rRNA from 1 species